rnacentral:rRNA from 1 species
CAGUAGCCACGGUAAUACGAAGGGGGCUAGCGUUGAUCGGAUUUACUGGGCGUAAAGGGCGCGUAGGCGGACUGAUAAGUCAGGGGUGAAAUCCCAAGGCUCAACCUUGGAACUGCCUUUGAUACUGUUUGUCUUGAGUUCGAGAGAGGUAAGUGGAACUGCGAGUGUAGAGGUGAAAUUCGUAGAUAUUCGCAAGAACACCAGUGGCGAAGGCGGCUUACUGGCUCGAAACUGACGCUGAGGCGCGAAAGCGUGGGGAGCAAACAGGAUUAGAUACCCCAGUAGUCCCUGUCUCUUAUAC